rnacentral:rRNA from 1 species
UACGGAGGGUGCGAGCGUUGUCCGGAAUCACUGGGCGUAAAGGGCGCGUAGGCGGCUUGGCAAGUGGAAGGUGAAAUCCCUCGGCUCAACCGAGGAACGUCGAUCGAUACUACCGUUCUUGAGGAUUGCAGAGGAGACUGGAAUUCCCGGUGUAGCGGUGAAAUGUGUAGAGAUCGGGAGGAACACCGGUGGCGAAGGCGGGUCUCUGGGCAGUAACUGACGCUGAGGAGCGAAAGCGUGGGGAGCGAACAGG